rnacentral:rRNA from 1 species
UACGUAGGUGGCGAGCGUUGUCCGGAUUUACUGGGCGUAAAGAGCGCGCAGGCGGUCGUUCAAGUCGCGUGUGAAAGCCCCCGGCUCAACUGGGGAGGGUCACGCGAUACUGAUCGACUCGAAGGCAGGAGAGGGAAGUGGAAUUCCCGGUGUAGUGGUGAAAUGCGUAGAUAUCGGGAGGAACACCGGUGGCGAAGGCGGGUCUCUGGGCCGAUAUCGACGCUGAGGAGCGAAAGCGUGGGGAGCGAACAGG